CGGGACGGGUGAGUAAUGUCUGGGAAACUGCCUGAUGGAGGGGGGUAACUACUGGAAACGGUAGCUAAUACCGCAUAACGUCGCAAGACCAAGGAGGGGGACCUUCGAGCCUCUUGCCAUCGGAUGUGCCCAGAUGGGAUUAGCUAGUAGGUGGGGUAAAGGCUCACCUAGGCGACGAUCCCUAGCUGGUCUGAGAGGAUGACCAGCCACACUGGAACUGAGACACGGUCCAG
rnacentral:rRNA from 1 species